rnacentral:rRNA from 1 species
UACAGAGGGGGCAAGCGUUAUUCGGAAUUAUUGGGCGUAAAGGGCGCGUAGGCGGCCAUUCAAGUGACGGGUGAAAGCCCUCGGCUUAACCGAGGAACUGCCUGUCAGACUGGAUGGCUUGAGACCGGGAGAGGUGAGUGGAAUUCCCAGUGUAGCGGUGAAAUGCGUAGAUAUUGGGAGGAACACCUGUGGCGAAGGCGGCUCACUGGACCGGAACUGACGCUGAUGUGCGAAAGCGUGGGGAGCAAACGGG